UGUCAAUAGAUCAACAGAUCAAAGGCACCUCUCCAGUCCUUGUCAAUAGAUCAACAUAUGUAUAAGCUCUCUGUACGUGGUUUGGACAACCCAUCAUUCCAACCAAUUACGUCAAGAAUGCCCUUUGCUUUCAUCUGUAGGCGGAUGAUAAACUUCCUUCUCUGCAGAGACAGAAUACAGUCAAUAUCACGCGAGGAGCUAGCUUCAGGUAUAAAUAUAGAAACUAACCUAAAGCCAAACUAUGAAGGAGAGUAUUUUCGUCCCUGCACAAUCAAAUGAAUUCAUACCAAAAACACGAAAGGCGGAUAAACACUUGAACUAAAGCUUGCUCGUACUUCAAGAGUGCAAAGUCAGAUGGUUUGCC
rnacentral:lncRNA from 1 species